AGCGGAGUGGAGCAGUUGAUAGCUCAUUAGGUUCAUAACCCAGAAGGCGCAGGUUCAAGUCCUGCCUCCGCAA
rnacentral:tRNA from 1 species